UACGUAGGGGUCUAGCGUUGUCCGGAAUUAUUGGGCGUAAAGAGCUCGUAGGCGGUUCGGCAAGUCGGAUGUGAAAUCUCCACGCUUAACGUGGAGGGGCCAUUCGAAACUGCCGUGACUCGAGUCCGGUAGGGGAGUGCGGAAUUCCCGGUGUAGCGGUGAAAUGCGCAGAUAUCGGGAGGACACCAGUGGCGAAGGCGGCACUCUGGGCCGGAACUGACGCUGAGGAGCGGAAAGCGUGGGGAGCGAACAGG
rnacentral:rRNA from 1 species